GGCCGCUCAUGACCUCCUCUGGUCACUGUGACAUCACCCUCCCGCUAGUCAGGGCUUGUAAGGAAAGGAGCCCCUGAGGGCAAGGGACUCUGCCUGGGCCAACAGCUGACAGACUUUAGUAGGAGAGGUUGAAUGAAUUCGGGCUCAGCGAAUGACCUUCUGUCUUUAGGACAUCCGCAUUAAGAGAGCUGAAGGCUUAUGUAAAGUCCUUUAGGGAUGAUAAACAGCGUUCACCCGAGGGCUGCAAGACUGAGAGGUGCCUGGGACCCGCAGAGGGAAUUUAAGAUCUGAAGAAUUUUCCCAAGUUCACAGAGCACCAGCUUGGCCCUACGCAGAGUCUCUGAUAUUUGCUGGAAAUGACCGGGGAAGUCCCUUCCUGCAGUCUUUUGUCUGUUUGGUGUCCAUGUGGAAGUCAAAGGGCAACACUUGGGAGCUGGGUUGCUCCUUCAACCAUAGAGACCAGAAGGACAGAAGGACAGUCCUGACAGGAGUCACCCUGGGGAUGCUGAGAUUCUGAGACCUGCUGUUCCAGCUGCCUAAUUGAUCCUGCCUCACACGGAUGCUAUUCCCAAAGACAUGCUUCUAGAACAACUUCAGAAAGGACUGCUGAUCUCAGAUGACACUGGCCCACACAGCCUUGCAGAUUGCUCCAGUCAGGACUUCAGUUAAGCCCUGAACUUCCUCAGCACAUAGAGACUAGACAACAAAUGAUGCCAGCUGCUUUCUUUUGACUUAACCAUUUUUGCAAUUUCCUUUUGGGCCCCAAACAGGAAUUCUUUGCCCAGUUCAGCAGGAAGCAAUUAUAAGAAGCCCAUCAUCCCAAUCCCUUAAGUUGGGAUGGAUGGUUUUAGUUAUUUUAUGAAUAAUAGAUGUGUUGUCAUUUUGGGAGAUGA